CAUUUACCAAAGCCUAGCUCAAGAUACCUUCAGAAAUUGCACUGAAGUCUUGUUUGAAAGCUUAAAUGCUGUAGAUAGAUCAACACUGCGGAAAAACUAAUGGAAGGCUGGUGGGUUGCUAGUAGCGUCCAAGGUGACACCCUGGUGAAUGGACGAACUGUCUCUUCACCAACACGGCAUUUGUGAGCCAUCCAGUAAGAGAUUCCACACCAAACUUCCAUGACCUUUUAAACCCA
rnacentral:lncRNA from 1 species